ACACACACACACACACACACACACACAGGACAACUACGAUCAGGUACACACACACACACACACACAGGACAACUACGAUCAGGUACACACACACACACACAGGACAACUACGAUCAGGUACACACACACACACACACACACACACAGGACAACUACGAUCAGGUACACACACACACACACAGGACAACUACGAUCAGGUACACACACACACACACAGGACAACUACGAUCAGGUACACACACACACACA